rnacentral:snoRNA from 12 species
ACACCCGGCAGGGAGAGUGGCCUGGGGCGAGGUGGUGUGCGUGGUGCCACGGUGUCGUGGAAGGCACGCGUAGGCCGAGUGUGAGUGGGUGCGCAAGUGGGUGCGCGAAUGCGCGGGGCGUGCGAGGUGAGUGUGUGCGCCCGCCCCUGCGCCCCUCCCCCUGCCUACAACUUGAUCUUAUUUGAUCGGGUAGUGGCCCCAGCCUGCCCGGCAGACCCGAGAUGAAAAGCUCUCCUCCUGCGAAGCCCCUCUUCGGAGCACUGUGCAGCUAGGCCCCUUGGAGGGCGGCAACGCCCGGGCCUCUGAGGUCCUGGAGCUGUCCUGCGGGCCCAGCGCUCAGAAGUGAUGAAUUGAUCAGAUAGAUGAGGCUGGGCUUAUCCCGGGCCACUGAUUAUCGAGGCGAUUCUGAUUUGA